rnacentral:rRNA from 1 species
UACGGAGGGGGCAAGCGUUAUUCGGAAUCACUGGGCUUAAAGAGUGCGUAGGCGGCUCUGUAAGUCAGGGGUGAAAGGCCGCAGCUCAACUGUGGAAUUGCCUUUGAUACUGUGGGGCUAGAAUGAGAGUGAGGUAAGCGGAAUGUGGCAUGUAGCGGUGAAAUGCAUAGAUAUGGCAUAGAACACCAAUUGCGAAGGCAGCGUGCUAGACCUAAAUUGACGCUGAGGCACGAAAGCGUGGGGAGCGAACAGG